CUCAUUGUGUACUCUCCCUGCGCCAACCUUAGAAUCAAUCAUUUCUUCCAGAAGUGCUGGCUCCUUCUUGAGGAGAUUAGCACUAGAAGCCAAGGUCUGGGUACAAGUUGUGCUGGUUGAUUUUGUGGUGUCGCUAAUCCCAGGCCUCCUUAAUGGACAGAGGCUGUGACACACCCUGCUAGGUCAACUCCCACAAGGACGCCCUCCUCCCAUUGCUUGAGCUUCAACACCCACGUGAGCUGGACCACUUGCUCAUGGAAAUGCCAUCCUGACUCUGCGUAGGCUCAAGUUGCUCGUCCUGGGCUGCCUUCCUACCAGAUGUACUCAGGUUAAGAUGGAGUCAUUAAGUGGGUCCCAAUCCAAUAUGACUGGUGUCUUUACAAGUAGAGGAGAGACCCAGAGAGGAGACCACCAAGUGAAGACACAGAGACACAAGGAAGGAAGAUGGCCAUGUGAAGACAGAGACAGAGAUGGGAGUCAUGCUGCCACCAGCCAAGGAACCCCUGGGGCCACUAGAAGCUGGAAGAGGCCAGAAGGACUUUCCCUUUGAGGUUUCAGAGGGAGCUGGGCUCUGCUCACACCUUGAUUUUAGACUUCUAGCCUCCUGAACUGUGAGAGAAUAAAUUUCUGUUGUUAUAAACCAUUCAGUUUGUGGCACUUUGUUUCGGC
rnacentral:lncRNA from 1 species